GAUGAACGCUAGCGGCAGGCUUAAUACAUGCAAGUCGAGGGGCAGCAUGAUUGUAGCAAUACAAUUGAUGGCGACCGGCAAACGGGUGCGGAACACGUACACAACCUUCCAAUAAGUGGGGAAUAGCCCAGAGACAUUUGGAUUAAUACCCCGUAACAUAACGAUGUGGCAUCACAUUGUUAUUAUAGAUUUUUCGCUUAUUGAUGGGUGUGCGGCUGAUUAGAUAGUUGGCGGGGUAACGGCCCACCAAGUCUACGAUCAGUAGCUGAUGUGAGAGCAUGGUCAGCCACACGGGCACUGAGACACGGGCCCGACUCCUACGGGAGGCAGCAGUAAGGAAUAUUGGACAAUGGACGCAAGUCUGAUCCAGCCAUGCCGCGUGAAGGAUUAAGGUCCUCUGGAUUGUAAACUUCUUUUAUAAGGGACGAAAAAAGGCUUUUCUAAGUCGUCUGAUGGUACCUUAUGAAUAAGCACCGGCUAACUCCGUGCCAGCCGCCGCUGUAAGAC
rnacentral:rRNA from 1 species